GGCAACUUUUGUACCAAAGUAGGUUCAUGAUUUUGUCUUAAUAUUGAUAGUUUUAUGUUUUCUUUAUUGUAAUGUUAUAAAAAUAAAAUGAGAAAAAUAUAUAUCCAGUUCUUGGAAUUUUGGGAGAAGAUGCUUAUAGAUAGAUAAUUAUGGAUUUAAAAAUGAUAACUCCAGCUUAAUCCCAUGCCCAAUUAUGGAUGAAUAUUUUAUUCUAAUGCAUGUUUUAUUACAUAGAUUUGGUUAUCACAGCUGAUUUUAGAUGGUCUUUAUAUGCCUAAUUUGUUGAUAAGCUACAUCAUGUUUUGUGCAAAACUGGCUUCUAUCAUUUAAUAAAAAAAUCUUCCUGGUAAAUCUGAAUAAUCAAUUGAUAUUGUAAGUUUUUCUAAUCAUUUAGCUACCCUUGUAUUGUUAAAGUGUUAGUUCACUAGUUUGCUUUUAGAACUUGUUUUCCCCUUAUUUGUGAGAUAAAUAAGUACGCUCAUGAAGAAAGUGCCUAGUGAGGUUUAUCCUCCUGUGUACCAGGUAAGAAUUGCUCUGUAUGGAACACUGAACUCAGCUUUUUGCCUAGGU
rnacentral:misc_RNA from 1 species